AGUGGGGAUACUGAAAUGACAACAAAGUCGAACGUUCGACUGAUUUUAAUGGUUAAUGGUUCAGUCUUGUUACGAAUUUCAACGAGUACACAUCGUAGUUCUGGUAGUACGCAUUCUUUGGAAGUAUUAGAGAAGAGUCAAUAAUGAAAUGGAGGAGUGGGGAUAUUCUCCCACUAGUGACGACAAUAUAAGCGACAGCUACUGGUUCAGUCUUGCUUCGAAUUUCGACGAGUACGCAACGCAGUUCUCCCAGUACACGUUCUCCACAAGUAAUAGAGAAGAGUUAAUAUUCAAAUUGCGAAGUAGGGAUACUCGGAUGCGAGAGAGAACAACAAAGACGGGCCUUCGUCCGACUCUUACAGUUACUAGUUCAGUUGUGUUUUGGACUUCGACGAAGGAACUUAGAAAAUCUCGCGGAGGCCAUUCCUGCAAAAUGAAAUGGAGGAGUGGGGAUAUUCUCCCACUAGUGACGACAAUAUAUGCGACAGCUACUGGUUCAGUCUUGCUUCGAAUUUCGACGAAUACGCAUUGCAGUUCUCGUAAAUGAAAUGGAGGAGUGGGGAUAUUCUCCCACUAGUGACGACAAUAUAUGCGACAGCUACUGGUUCAGUCUUGCUUCGAAUUUCGACGAGUACGCAUUGCAGUUCUCGUAGUACGUAUUCUUUGGAAGUAUUAGAGAAGAGUCAAUAAUGAAAUGGAGGAGUGGGGAUAUUCUCCCACUAGUGACGACAAUAUAAGCGACAGCUACUAGUUCAGUCUUGCUUCGAAUUUCGACGAGUACGCAUUGCAGUUCUCCCAGUACACGUUCUCCACAAGUAGUAGAGAAGAGUUAAUAUUCAAAUUGCGUAGUGGGGAUACUCGGAUGCGAGAGAGAACAACAAAGACGGGCCUUCGACUGACUCUUACAGUUACUAGUUCAGUUGUGUUUUGGACUUCGACGAGGGAACUUAGAAAAUUUCGCGGAGGCCAUUCCUGCAAAAUGAAAUGGAGGAGUGGGGAUAUUCUCCCACUAGUGACGACAAUAUAUGCGACAGCUACUGGUUCAGUCUUGCUUCGAAUUUCGACGAGUACGCAUUGCAGUUCUCGUAAAUGAAAUGGAGGAGUGGGGAUAUUCUCCCACUAGUGACGACAAUAUAUGCGACAGCUACUGGUUCAGUCUUGCUUCGAAUUUCGACGAGUACGCAUUGCAGUUCUCGUAGUACACGUUCUCCACAAGUAGUAGAGAAGAGUUAAUAUUCAAAUUGCGUAGUGGGGAUACUCGGAUGCGAGAGAGAACAACAAAGACGGGCCUUCGACUGACUCUUACAGUUACUAGUUCAGUUGUGUUUUGGACUUCGACGAGGGAACUUAGAAAAUUUCGCGGAGGCCAUUCCUGCAAAAUGAAAUGGAGGAAUGGGGAUAUUCUCCCACUAGUGACGACAAUAUAAGCGACAGCUACUAGUUCAGUCCUGCUUCGAAUUUCGACGAGUACGCAACGCAGUUCUCCCAGUACACGUUCUCCACAAGUAGUAGAGAAGAGUUAAUAUUCAAAUUGCGAAGUGGGGAUACUCGGAUACGAGAGAGAACAACAAAGACAGGCCUUCGACCGACUCUUACAGUUACUAGUUCAGUUGUGUUAUGGACUUCGACGAGAGAACUUAGAAAAUUUCGCGGAGGCUAUUCCUGCAAGUAUUAACGAACAGUUAAUAAAAAAUAUUUCAGAAUUUUUCAUUACUUUCUCUUUUGUUUCAGACUUUAAUUUCGCACUCUCGGAAGACUUUGAAAAUCAAUCUCCACGAUGGGACUUAGAAAUUUUCGGGGAUGCCAUUCGUGCAAGUAUGAACGAAGAGUUAAUUGAAACAUACAACAGUUUAUUUGAUAUUAGACUAAAUGCGAAGUGGGGAUACUCUCCUUCGAGAGACGACAACAAAGUCGUGCCUUUGACCGACUUCUACAGUAACUAGUUCAGUUGUGCUUUGGACUUCGACGAGGGAACAUAGAAAUUUUCGCAGGAUGCCACUUGAGCGAGUAUUUACGAAGAGUUUACGCAAGUACAAUAUUAUAUUACUCAUAUUUUCGAAAUUCUAUGCUUUCUCUUUUGUUUCGGACUACAAUUUCGCACUCUCGGAGGACUUUGAAAAUUGAUCUCCACGAUUAGACUUAGAAAUUUUCGCAGGAUGCCACUCGAGCGAGUAUUUACGAAGAGUUUACCUAAGUACAAUAUUAUAUUACUCAUAUUUUCGAAACUCUGUACUGUCUUGUUUUGUUACAGACCGAUUUCGCUCUUUCCGGGGACUUUGAAAAUCUAUCUUCACGAGUGGACUUAGAAAUUUUUACACUUCCGGAGAACUUUGAAAAUCUAUCUCCCGAGUGGACUUAGAAAUUUUUACACUCCCGGAAGACUUUGAUCUAUCUCCACGAGUGGACUUAGAAAUUUUUACACUGCCGGUGGAUUUUAAGAUCUGUUUCCACUAGUGGACUUAGAUAUAUUCGCGGAUACCACUCGAGCGGGCAAUAAGGAUGAGUAUACGCAAGUACAAUGUUAUAUUACUCAUAUUUUCGAAACUUUGUACUUUCUUGUUUUGUUACAGACCGAUUUCGCUCUUUUCGGGGACUUUGAAAAUCUAUCUUCACGAGUGGACUUAGAAAUUUGUGCACUCCCGGAGGACUUUGAAAAUCUAUCUCCCGAGUGGACUUAGAAAUUUUCGCGGAUGCCACUCGAGCGGGUAUUAACAAAGACUUAAAAACCUCGUUGCAAUCGGGCGCGUAGCAAUGAAGUAAUCAAAUAUUUAUACCGUUAAAAUAAAAUUAUCGCAAAGUAGAAGCAGUGUUUGUUCGUUCGCGGUUCGCGAUUUAAACCAUAAGUGUUUUUGCAUAGACUGCGUGCAAUGCAGUCUUUAGAGUCAGUGUUUGUUCGUAAAGUAUUUUAUAUUUUUAACAGUCGCACAGACUGUACUUAUAAAAAAUAGUAGAGUUUCGCGAAAUAAAUUCAGUGUCCGUUCGUUAAUAAAUAACUAUCGCGAAUUAGAGUCAGUGCAUCACUGAAGAGGAUCUCGACCAACUUCGUUGUCAACCUACCUCAUUUUCAACCAACUACAAAUCAUCCACCCUCAAUUUCGACCUAAAUCGCGGUCCAGUGUUUUGGAGCCAUCGCAGAACUUCUUAAGUAGUUAGAUCAUCGAGGGAGCGAUCAUCGAGCGAGGGAUCAUCCAGGGAUCGAUCAUCAUGGAAUUAAAUUUUUACAGAGAAAUUUUUGAAUUAAAUGUCUUUUUUCAUAUAAUUUUUACUCUUAUAUUUCAGUUUUCUAAUCUUUUUAAUUUUAGCUUUUAUAUUUAAUUUUUGCAUUUACAUU